rnacentral:rRNA from 1 species
AUAGAUCCGUAACUUCGGGAAAAGGAUUGGCUCUAAGGGUUGGGUGCGUCGGGCCUUGGUUAGAAACCCUAGGAUCUGGGAGGGACUGUUGGGGGGCAACUCCUGAUGGACCCACUCGGGACCUGGUGGCGGAAGACCUUGGCUGCCUUCACGGGCGUCCGGCGUACGCUUAACAACCAACUUAGAACUGGUACGG